CAUUCUUGACCUCUUGGACGUAAAAGGAGAAGGCUUCAGUCAACGUAUGCAAAGGAUGGCUUGGGUUAGGGCAGUGUGGCAAGAAAAAAAGCGUCAAGAGGGGACAGUGCCAGACAGCUGGGUGGACAAUGAAAAUAUGUUGGUGUUUUGGCCAAAUGUUGCAAAUGCAACUAAAUAUUUGAAAGAGCGACGCAUACCAUCAGAUGGAUGGAGGAAAUUUCCUCUUGUUAAAGAGAAAAUGAGAUCUGAUGACUUCAAAGACUGUGAAAACUGCGAUUUCACGAGCAGUACAGAGGCUGAAGAAGGUCCAACCGAAGCAAAAAGAAGAAGAAAAACCAAACCAACAGAAGAAUUUUUAACAGAUUAGUUGUCAGAUCAAUUGUCCAAGGUGGGAGGACUCUACUUAAAGGACAAUGUGAAGAGGAUCAUGGAGAGAUUGAUGACAAAUGAGGUCAUUGCAAAAUUCAAUAUGAAGGGAGGGAAGGGCAAGCUUGCCUUUACCAAGCUCUGCCUCUUCACUGUCAUCACAGAGAGUGUCCUGAAAACAUCAGGAAGGGAGGCUGAAACAGAGGCCAGCAUGGCAGAGGCUGUCGCCUUCUGCCUAAAGUAUGCCCCAGACAGGGUGGGUGGAGGUGGCAGGAGAAAAAGUUCAGUUUAAGUUGUUAGCAUUUUUACUUUUUAGUUUUGUAUUUAGUUAAAUUCUUUAAAUGGUUAUGAAGUUCUGUUUGUUUUAAGCAAUACUAUUCAAGUGCAGUGUUUUUAAUGUUGAGUUUUGUAUUUAGUUAAAUUCUUUAAAUGGUUAUGAAGUUCUGUUUGUUUUAAGCUAUAGUAUUCAAGUGCAGAAUGUUUUUAAUGUUUUGUUCUGUAUUUAGUGUAGUGUUAAUAAAAGAAGAAAAAAUGUUUUUGAUAACCCAUUGCAUAUCUGUCAUUUACCCAAACCGCCAAACAUUUGUGGAUUCCAGUUUCACUGGGAUUGUAAAGUGUAACUUUUCUGUGCUCUUAAAGUAAUUCUUUCAGUCUGGUAUUAGAUCUUGAGUUUGAUGUCAUGACAACAGAAUCCAUACUAACCAAUUCAUUAAAGUUGUAAUUUUACGGUUAAUGUGUUUUGAUGGAUAGCCAUUUUUGAUUUCCAACCAACAUUCAACAUCUGUGCAAUGUUGGAGGCUGAUGAAAAUGAAGAUCUGACUGACGUCAAAACCCAAUGUUGUCUUGACAUCAAACUCCAACGUUGGAUACACGUUAAUUAAUAGUUGAAAAUGAAGAUGUGACUGACGUUAAAACCCAGUGUUGUCUUGACAUCAAACUCCAACGUUGGAUACAUGUUAAUUAAUAGUUGAAAAUGAA